AGCUUAGUAAGUGUAGUGGUAGCAUAUUCCAUCAUCAACACUCUGAGGUUGAGGUGGAAGGGUCGUGGGUUCAAAUCCCACUUAAGCUA